UGGGCAGUAGCUCAGUGGUGAAGCUCUAGCUUUGUGUGCAGGAAGACCUGGGUUCGAUUCCCGGCUGCUUCC
rnacentral:tRNA from 1 species